GAUGGAGCCAGCGUGAUGAGGGGUGCCACGGCAGGUGUUCAAAAAAAAAUCCAAGAUGUGUACCCAAAUGCCCAUUACAUCCACUGCUAUGCACAUCAACUCAACCUAAUAAUGCAACAGGCCACUUCUAACAUUUCCAAAGUGAGAAUUUUUUUUUCUGACCUUGGAGGAUUUUCCAGCUUUUUUUCAAGAUCACCCAAACGCACAGACGUCCUUGAUAAAGUAGUGGCCCAUAGACUACCAACAUCAAGCAAUGUUAGGUGGAAUUUCCACAGCCGUGCCAUCAAUACAGUGUUUGAGCACAGAGAGGACCUCAUGCGCUGUUUUCAAACUAUUCGAGACUCGGGGGACUUUGACCCUGUUGCUGUCAGAGAGGCAGGAGCCUUUGCCAUGCUGCUGGAGAAUCAGGAUUUUAAUUUUUUCUUGCGACUUUUCCACAACAUCAUGCCACAUGUGGACAUCCUCUAUGCCAAACUCCAGAAGAAGGACAUCGAUUCAGUCCACAUCAGGGGGAGCAUCCAGCAAUUCCAGCAGGACAUACAGAAGAUCAGAAAUUCUCUCCAUUCCCUGGUUGACCAAUGCAGUGAAGGUGGUUUUCAACAGAAGAGGCGGCGGUCCCUCAGUCCAGAGGUUCAUGAACAGAUAGCAGCAGAAGUCUGUGAUACCAUUCUCACACACACACUGGAGCGGUUCUCCUUCACAGACCACCUCGUUAGUGCCACAUUGCUGCAGGCAGACAGGUUUGAGCAGUAUACAGUAGCUUUUCCAGAAGAUGCACUUAGCAGGACUCUGAAAGUCUAUCCUGUGCUCGAUGGAAGUAAGCUAAAGACAGAGCUCAGUCUCAUCUACUCCAAGGAUGAGUUCAGAGCCUGUUGUGGUGCUUUGGACCUACUCCAGCUGUUUAUGGAGGACAAUCUUGAGGAAGUCUUUUCAGAGACUGUAACUCUCCUAAAGAUUCUGGUAACUACGCCUAUGACCACAGCAGAAGCUGAGAGGUGCUUCUCAACUUUGAAAAGAAUAAAAACUUUUCUGAGAAACAGCAUGACCCAAGAGAGGCUGAAUGCAUUGGCCAUGCUGUCAAUAGAGAAGAGACUAGUGACUGAGAUGACUGACUUCAACCAAAAGGUCAUUGAGAAAUUUGCAAGCCAGAAAGAAAGGAGAGCAAAAUUUAUUUUCAAGUAGUGCUACUGGCCAGUAAUUAGGCAACAUCUAUGUGUGUCU